rnacentral:rRNA from 1 species
AUGUCUUCGCCGGCUGCUCUGCCCGCAGAUGAGAUACCCAUGGGUCUGGUGCGCCUCGGAAGGCAACGCCUGCAGUUCGACAACCACUUCUCCGAGACGUGCCGCCGGGACCGCUUCUGCCUGCGCUGCGUCGUGGCUUACUGCUCCCACUGCUGCGGCAAUCACCACUUCCACCCGGAGUGGCCGGACCUCCGGGUCCUACGCAUCGACCUUGACACCGAAGGCCGGCCCAUAUUCCCAACCCGGACGGCGCCGGCGCCGGACGGGCACCCGAUCCCGCCGGACAUAGCCAAGUCCAUGAGGGCGCAGGACUACACCUCGCCGUUACCAAGGGAUGCCUUCUGCAUUCACUGUUCCAAGUCCUUCCGCGUCGACGUCUGCGCCCACCACGGCGACCACGCGCGCCUCCGGGACUGCGUGCUCCGCAUCGAGAAGCGCGGCUGGAGGACCUGCGUCAGAUGCGCGGGCGACGAGUGGUGGGUGCCCCACAUCGGCGUAGCGCUCGGAGAUCCGGUGCUCGUGGACGAGCAGGGGCGGUACGAGCUUCUCCGGGUGCUGACGCGGGUACGGGGUCCGUGCGUGGAGUGUGGCAUCGGCGCCCAUCGGAUUCCUCGGGAGUUCUUCCCGUUCUGCUCCGAGACUUGCAUCCGUAAACACAUUCGCCGCAUUGAGGAACGCCAGGAGGCCAGGCUCGCCGCUCGGCGCUUAUAG